rnacentral:tRNA from 1 species
AAGGUUUUAAGUUAUGAUAAACUAUAAGCCUUCAAAGCUUAAAAUAAAAAAGAAUUUUUAAACCUUGCC